rnacentral:rRNA from 1 species
UACUCAGUUCGGAUUGAAGGCUGAAAUUCGCCUUCAUGAAGCUGGAAUUGCUAGUAAUGGCAGGUCGGCAUACUGCCGUGAAUACGUUCCCGGGCCUUGUACACACCGCCCGUCACACCAUGAGAGUUGGCAACACCCGAAGUCGGUAGUCUAACCGCAAGGAGGACGCCGCCGAAGGUGGGGUUGAUGAUUAGGGUUAAGUCGUAACAAGGUAUC